rnacentral:rRNA from 1 species
GAUGAACGCUGGCGGCGUGCCUAAUACAUGCAAGUCGCGCGCACGGACGAGAAGCUUUCUUCUCUGAUGUUAUCGGCGGCCGGGUGAGUAACACGUGGAUAACCUACCUAUCACACUGGGAUCACUUCGAGUCACCGGUGCUCAUACCGGAUGAUAUUUUGAACCCCCUGGUUCAUAACUGUACGACGCUCUUGCUUUCUCUUAUAGAUACAUCCGCGCUGCAUUAGCUAGUUGGUAAGGUAACGGCUUACCAAGGCCACGAUGCAUAGCCGACCUGGGAGGAUGAUGGGCCACAGGGGAGCUGGGACAAGGACCAGGCUCGGACGGGAGGCAGCAGUAGGGAAUCUUCGGCAAGGGGCGGAAGGCUGACGGAGCAAAGCCGCGUGAGUGAUGAAGGGCUUCGGAGCGUAAAGGUAUGUGAUUAGGGAAGAACAUAUGUGUAAGUAAAGGGGCACAACUUGACGGUACCUAAUCAGAAAGCCACGGCUAACUACGUG